rnacentral:rRNA from 1 species
UACGGGGGGGGCAAGCGUUGUUCGGAAUUACUGGGCGUAAAGGGCGCGUAGGCGGCCUGCUAAGUCGGACGUGAAAUCCCUCGGCUCAACCGGGGAACUGCGUCCGAUACUGGUGGGCUCGAAUCCGGGAGAGGGAUGUGGAAUUCCAGGUGUAGCGGUGAAAUGCGUAGAUAUCUGGAGGAACACCGGUGGCGAAGGCGGCAUCCUGGACCAACACUGACACUGAGGAGCGAAAGCCAGGGGAGCAAACGGG